rnacentral:rRNA from 1 species
ACGAACGCUGGCGGCAUGCCUAACACAUGCAAGUCGAACGAGACCUUCGGGUCUAGUGGCGCACGGGUGCGUAACGCGUGGGAACCUGCCCUUAGGUUCGGAAUAACUCCCCGAAAGGGGUGCUAAUACCGGAUAAUGUCUUCGGACCAAAGAUUUAUCGCCUUUGGAUGGGCCCGCGUUGGAUUAGCUAGUUGGUAGGGUAAAAGCCUACCAAGGCGACGAUCCAUAGCUGGUCUGAGAGGAUGAUCAGCCACACUGGGACUGAGACACGGCCCAGACUCCUACGGGAGGCAGCAGUGGGGAAUAUUGGACAAUGGGCGAAAGCCUGAUCCAGCAAUGCCGCGUGAGUGAUGAAGGCCUUAGGGUUGUAAAGCUCUUUUACCCGGGGUGAUAAUGACAGUACCGGGAGAAUAAGCGCCGGCUAACUCCGUG